GAAUGCGCCCACCUCUAGAACUGACGACGAGUCUUCUCUAACUGACUGCAUCUAAGUCCCCCACAAAAGCCUCUGCUCUCUUUGGUGAAGAAUGCUUUUCCAAGGCUGCAGGCAGACCCGUGAACCACCCAGCAAACAUGGAGUGAGUCAGACUGGGGAGCUGUGAGCUUCCUUCUCUUUUGUCGCCGAGCUCUCUCCCAGGCAGCUGCAGAGAAGAGGAAAAGCCAGGCCCAGGAGGCCUGCAACUCUGCACCCUCUCACGUCAGAUUAGCAUUUUCAGAAUCCACUGCUCCUACCUCUCUGACACCACGGGAUUUCCAGGCUAACCAAGAUAUGCCUUGGAAAAGAGUUAGACAGCUCUCCAACAAGAGUGAAAAUGCAAGAACCCAGUACCCAGAAGUGACUGACCUGCUUGCUGAGACAUUACCAGUUUUCAUCACAGUAAAUAUCUGGCCAAGCAACGAUCAUCAGUCCUUCUCCAGGAACACCUGUAAAUUCAGAUCUUUGACUUCUUUGCCUUAUUUUUGCUUUUUUCUUUUCUUUCUCUUACGUAAGGUCCUUAUACUGCAAGUACAUACCUUAUUUUUAUGGUAGGUAUUCUAGUGUCAUGAGAAAACUAAAUGGAAAUUUCUAAACUUUAAAAACAUACACUGAAUAUUGUCUCCAUUCAUUUUAAUUUGUUUCAU